CUACCCUCAAGCUUCUGCUUGGUGUUGGAGGAUUUUUUAUAUCACUACGAUUAGAAAACCUCUGAAAUCCAGCGGCGACAGUGCUUUCUGGCCGUCCCCUGCAAAGUAAAUUUCUACUGGCAGUUUGGGAUCCAGGCAUGUGUUGGCCUCUAAAGAAAUUUUCAAUUAUUUUCAAU
rnacentral:misc_RNA from 1 species